rnacentral:tRNA from 1 species
UGGAUAAAAGCCCGCUGGUUUGGGUUUUUAGCUGUUAAUUAAAUAUUCGUGGGAUCGAGGCCCGCUUAUCCAG